rnacentral:tRNA from 1 species
AAUGAAUUGCCUGAUAAAAGGAUUACCUUGAUAGGGAUACCAUAUAAUUUAAAAUAUUAUAUUCAUUA